AUUCCCCGCCGCCGGCCAGCAGGGGUCCUCGGAGGGCGCACACGCACCACUUCAAGGGCUCUAGGCUAGGGAAUCUUAGGUGUCCUCCCAGUCCGUAGCCAAGGGGGCGGGUUAGGGGUUCAAACCACCACCAAAACAGCAACCUGGUUUGCUCAUGAAUUUUCCCCGGUGAACCAAAUCCCCAUGCCAAGUCUAUGAGAAGCAAAAAUUAAGAACUGCAAGCACUAUCUCAACCAAAUUUAGAUUUUUUUUUCAUGUCAGGAGCAACCGGAGUUGCUUCUGGAGUGAGAGAAUUGGCCGUCUGCAAGGGGACGCCCGGAUGUCUUGAUGUUUUUACCAUCCUUGUGGGAGGCUUCUCUCAUGUCCUCGCACGGAGCUGGAGCUGAUAGAGGGAGCUCAUCCGCGCUCUCCCCAGGUGGGAUUCGAACCUGGCAGCCUUCAGGGAGAGGCUGACUACCUAUGAAAGGUGUGACAACAAACCUCCUGACUGCUGCUUCUCCUCCUCCUUCCUCCCCCUGAGAGGAGCCAGUCCAUGUGGUGCCUGGAAGUGGGGCACCUUGGUGUCUUCGUUUUUAGAUGUGUUCCUGGGGUUAUUUUGGGUGCUGAUUCAGAAAAUUGCAUUGGAUAGGCCACAUCAGCUCUAGAUUAUUAAAUAUGGUUUUCUGUGGGUGAGCACUUUAACUGUAAGUGGAAUUGUUGCUAUUAGUGGCCAUUCAGUUAACUUCUGAUUUCCUUUAUCAUGAUGAUGAUUAAAACGUUUUCCACUGUAAAUUAGCAAGAAGUUUUCAGCCAAGCAUGGGUUUUUCUGAUCAGGGCUGUAGCCAAGCCCCCCCCCCCUCUCUAUUUUUCAAAUCCCUGCACCCUCCCUUCUCCCCCUCCUCUUCCGCCCACUUAGAGUAAGGCAAAAAACCCUUAAUAAAGAUUUUGAAAAAAGAAAAGAAAAUUGCAUUGGAUAGACCACAUCAGCUCUAGUUUUAGAUACAGAACAUAUGCCAUCUACCCUGUUUCCCCUAAAAUAAGACAUCCCCAGAAAAUAAGACCUAGUAGAGGUUUUGCUGAAUUGCUAAAUAUAAGGCCUCCCCCGAAAGUAAGACCUAGCAAAGUUUUUGUUUGGAAGCAUGCCCGCCAAACAGAACACCAGAGCAUGCAGGAUCGGUAAAUGUACAUACCAUAGAUUGUACAUGAAAAUAAUGGUAGUAACAAGAAAUUCUUGACAGGAUUCACAGUUUGUCUGGUUAUGCUGGUUUGUGAUGACAACUACUGUACAGUAUAUAAUAAAUGUUCAAAUAUUUUGUUCAAUAAUAAA